rnacentral:rRNA from 1 species
AACGUAGGAGACAAACGUUAUCCGGAGUUACUGGGCGUAAAGGGCGUGUAGGCGGUUUGUUAAGUCUGGCGUGAAAGCUCUCGGCUAAACCGGGAGAGGUCGUUGGAUACUGGCAAACUAGAGGACGGUAGAGGCGUGUGGAAUUCCGGGUGUAGUGGUGAAAUGCGUAGAGAUCCGGAGGAACACCAGUGGCGAAGGCGGCAUCCUGGACCGGCAUUGACGCUGAGGAGCGAAAGCCAGGGGAGCAAACGGG